rnacentral:lncRNA from 1 species
UUAUGAGUACAAGUCGCCACCACCUCCUUCUCCAUCUCCUCCACCGCCAUAUGAAUACAAGUCGCCACCACCUCCUUCACCAUCACCUCCACCACCAUACUACUACUCUUCCCCACCACCUCCGAAGAAGUCACCUCCACCACCAUACUACUACUCCUCUCCACCACCACCCGAGAAGUCACCUCCUCCACCAUACUACUACUCCUCUCCUCCACCCCCGGAGAAGUCACCUCCACCACCUUACUACUACUCUUCUCCACCACCCCCCAAGAAGUCACCUCCACCUCCAUACUACUAUAGUUCUCCACCACCACCCGAGAAGUCACCUCCACCACCUUACUACUAUUCUUCUCCUCCACCACCCGAGAAGUCACCUCCACCACCAUACUACUACUACUCUCCUCCACCACCCAAGAAGUCACCUCCACCUCCAUACUACUACAGUUCUCCACCACCACCAGUUAAGUAUCCUCCUCCACCAUACUACUACCCUUCUCCACCACCACCCAAGGAAUCACCUCCUCCACCAUACUACUACUCCUCACCACCACCACCCAAGAAGUCACCCCCACCCCCAUACUACUACUCCUCUCCUCCACCACCAGUUAAAUAUCCUCCUCCACCAUACUACUACUCUUCCCCACCACCACCAGUUAAGUACCCUCCUCCACCAUAUUACUACACUUCUCCUCCACCAC